rnacentral:rRNA from 1 species
AAAAUCCGCUGUAACAAUUCUGAGGCGUGAUGGGGAAGGUCAUAUAGACCGAAGUACAUGAUUCCAUGCUUCCAAGAAAAGCAUCUAGAGAGAGAAGUAGUGCCCGUACCGCAAACCGACACAGGUAGAUGAGGAGAGAAUCCUAAGGCCGGCGGAAGAAUUGCAGUUAAGGAACUAGGCAAAUUGACCCCGUAAGUUCGCGAGAAGGGGUGCCUGCGAGAGCAGGCCGCAGAGAAUAGGCCCAAGCAACUGUUUAGCAAAAACACAGGUCUCUGCUAAAGCGCAAGCUGAUGUAUAGGGGCUGACGCCUGCCCGGUGCUGGAAGGUUAAGGGGAACACUUAGCGCAAGCGAAGGUGUGAACUUAAGCCCCAGUAAACGGCGGCCGUAACAAUAACGGUCCUAAGGUAGCGAAAUUCCUUGUCAGGUAAGUUCUGACCCGCACGAAUGGCGUAAUGACUUGGGCACUGUCUCAACUGCAAAUCCGGCGAAGUUGUAGUGCGAGUGAAGAUGCUCGCUACCCGCGAUUGGACGGAAAGACCCCGUAGAGCUUUACUGCAGCUUAGCAUUGAAUUCCGGUAUUGUCUGUACAGGAUAGGUGGGAGACUGGGAAACUAGGGCGUCAGCCUUAGUGGAGUCAACCUUGGGAUACCACCCUGACAGUACUGGGGUUCUAACAGGACGCCAUGAAUCUGGUGACUGGACAUUGUUAGGUGGGCAGUUUGACUGGGGCGGUCGCCUCCUAAAAAGUAACGGAGGCGCCCAAAGGUUCCCUCAGAACGGUCGGAAAUCGUUCGUAGAGUGCAAAGGCAGAAGGGAGCCUGACUGCGAGACCUACAAGUCGAGCAGGGACGAAAGUCGGGCUUAGUGAUCCGGUGGUACCUCGUGGGAGGGCCAUCGCUCAACGGAUAAAAGCUACCUCGGGGAUAACAGGCUGAUCUCCCCCAAGAGUCCACAUCGACGGGGAGGUUUGGCACCUCGAUGUCGGCUCGUCGCAUCCUGGGGCUGUAGUAGGUCCCAAGGGUUGGGCUGUUCGCCCAUUAAAGCGGCACGCGAGCUGGGUUCAGAACGUCGUGAGACAGUUCGGUCCCUAUCCGUCGCGGGCGUAGGAAAUUUGAGAGGAGCUGUCCUUAGUACGAGAGGACCGGGAUGGACUGACCUCUGGUGCACCAGUUGUUCCGCCAGGAGCACGGCUGGGUAGCUAAGUCGGGAAGGGAUAAACGCUGAAAGCAUCUAAGCGUGAAGCCUCCCUCAAGAUGAGAUUUCCCAUAGCAUAAGCUAGUAAGACCCCUUGAAGAACACAAGGUUGAUAGGUCAGAGGUGUAAGUGCGGUAACGUAUGUAGCUGACUGAUACUAAUAGGUCGAGGGCUUGACC